UAGUCCACGCCGUAAACGAUGAUCACUAGCUGUAUGCGAUACAUUGUAUGCGGCUGCGCGAAAGCAUUAAGUGAUCCACCUGGGGAGUACGUUGGCAACAAUGAAACUCAAAGGAAUUGACGGGGGCCCGCACAAGCGGUGGAACAUGUGGUUUAAUUCGAUGAUACGCGAGGAACCUUACCUGGGCUUAAAUGUAGAGUGCAUUAAGUGGAAACAUUUAUUUCCUUCGGGACUCUUUACAAGGUGCUGCAUGGUUGUCGUCAGCUCGUGCCGUGAGGUGUCGGGUUAAGUCCCAUAACGAGCGCAACCCCUAUCGUUAGUUGCCAGCGGAUAAUGCCGGGGACUCUAGCGAGACUGCCACCGUAAGGUGAGAGGAAGGUGGGGAUGACGUCAAAUCAGCACGGCCCUUACGUCCAGGGCUACACACGUGUUACAAUGGCCAGUACAAAGGGCAGCUACCUGGUGACAGGAUGCUAAUCUCGAAAUCUGGUCUCAGUUC
rnacentral:rRNA from 1 species